GCCCUUAGAGUUUGAUCCUGGCUCAGAACGAACGCUGGCGGCAGGCCUAACACAUGCAAGUCGAGCGCUACCUUCGGGUGGAGCGGCGGACGGGUUAGUAACGCGUGGGAAUAUGCCCUUCUCUAAGGAAUAGCCUCGGGAAACUGAGAGUAAUACCUUAUACGCCCUUUGGGGGAAAGAUUUAUCGGAGAAGGAUUAGCCCGCGUAAGAUUAGAUAGUUGGUGGGGUAAUGGCCUACCAAGUCUACGAUCUUUAGCUGGUUUUAGAGGAUGAUCAGCAACACUGGGACUGAGACACGGCCCAGACUCCUACGGGAGGCAGCAGUGGGGAAUCUUAGACAAUGGGCGCAAGCCUGAUCUAGCCAUGCCGCGUGAGUGAUGAAAGCCCUAGGGUCGUAAAGCUCUUUCGCCAGGGAUGAUAAUGACAGUACCUGGUAAAGAAGCCCCGGCUAACUCCGUGCCAGCAGCCGCGGUAAUAAGGGCG
rnacentral:rRNA from 1 species